rnacentral:rRNA from 1 species
CUUGAUAUCUAUAAGAGGUCCAGCCUGCCCAGUGACCAAGUUCAACGGCCGCGGUAUCCUAACCGUGCGAAGGUAGCGUAAUCACUUGUUCUUUAAAUGAGGACUAGUAUGAAUGGCACCACGAGGGUUAUACUGUCUCCUUUUUCUAAUCAAUGAAACUAAUCUCCCCGUGAAGAAGCGGGGAUAAACUUAUAAGACGAGAAGACCCUAUGGAGCUUCAAACAACAAUAGCACUAGCCUCCAUCUUUAUACUUGAGAGAUAUAACUAUUAUAUUGGCUAACAUGACCAUUAGUUUUAGGUUGGGGUGACCGCGGAGCAAAAACGAACCUCCACAUUGAACGGAGUUUUCCUGAGCUAAAAGCUACAACUUUAAGCACCAGUAAACUGACAUCAAUUGACCCAACACGUUGAGCAACGAAC